GUGGCUAAUACCGCAUAACGUCGCAAGACCAAAGAGGGGGACCUUCGGGCCUCUUGCCAUCAGAUGUGCCCAGAUGGGAUUAGCUAGUUGGUGAGGUAACGGCUCACCAAGGCGACGAUCCCUAGCUGGUCUGAGAGGAUGACCAGCCACACUGGAACUGAGACACGGUCCAGACUCCUACGGGAGGCAGCAGUGGGGAAUAUUGCACAAUGGGCGCAAGCCUGAUGCAGCCAUGCCGCGUGUAUGAAGAAGGCCUUCGGGUUGUAAAGUACUUUCAGCGGGGAGGAAGGUGUUGUGGUUAAUAACCGCAGCAAUUGACGUUACCCGCAGAAGAAGCACCGGCUAACUCCGUGCCAGCAGCCGCGGUAAUACGGAGGGUGCAAGCGUUAAUCGGAAUUACUGGGCGUAAAGCGCACGCAGGCGGUCUGUCAAGUCGGAUGUGAAAUCCCCGGGCUCAACCUGGGAACUGCAUUCGAAACUGGCAGGCUUGAGUCUUGUAGAGGGGGGUAGAAUUCCAGGUGUAGCGGUGAAAUGCGUAGAGAUCUGGAGGAAUACCGGUGGCGAAGGCGGCCCCCUGGACAAAGACUGACGCUCAGGUGCGAAAGCGUGGGGAGCAAACAGGAUUAGAUACC
rnacentral:rRNA from 1 species